CCGCGCCGCGCAGGCCGCGCCGGGUCCGCCGGGCGGGGCGGGGCGGACGCGGCGCAAAACGCGGAGGGCGGAACGUGGAGCGGCGUCCCCGGGCGGCGGGAAAACACGGAGCGGAUACCCCGCCUAAAGCAUCGGGAGUCGGAGACAGACAAAGCCCGGAGCGGAGAAUUCCCUGCCUCAGGAGCCGGAGCGGCCGUAAUGCCUCUUCGGAAAUGGCGGGGGGAAUCUUUCGGGGGUGUUUCACGAGCUGAGUGGUGUCUUUUGUGACCUCAGCCCGGCAGGAUCCCCCCAAGGCCACGCUUUUAGCUCCCAGAGCCAGCUCAGAAAGGCAGGGGGCAGGAGUCAUCACCACCCUGGGGCAUCCACACCUACCUCAAAAUCCACCACAUCGUGCCCCACGCUGCCACUUUUCCUUUCCAAAUACUCUUCUGGAGCACCUGGGUCCCCAGCCGUUCUCAUGCCCUGGAAGUGAUGUGUCCCCUAAACUCUCUACUACCCACCUAAACCCUCAGCACAGGCCCCGCUGACAAGGGAGGAAAUUCCAUCUCAUCUCAACCCUAGCCCCUGGACAAUCCAAAACCUCUGCUCCUUUUCCGAAAGCCUCAGCAUCAGCCCCACUGUUCGGUGAGGAAAUUUCGAUUCAGCUCAGUGGGGAUGUCCCAGUCCUGUCUCCAUGACACCCCAAAAUCAGGAAGGUGAACCAAUGCGGCAAGCUGUGCCAAAGGGAAAUGGGAUGCAGGAUGGCAGCUGGUAUCUGUCAGUGCUGAGCAUGGAAGAGGAGCAUGCACGAAACUGCAGAGGGAGAGGUCAGCACCAACUCCAUCCAUCCAGCCAGGGUCUGCUGAGAGCACCAAAGGAGAUUCCAAUUUCUUCUGAUGCAAGGACAACACAAGACCCAAGCCCCUGGCAAAGGAGGUGAUGCCAAGAAGGCCAGAGGUUUGGGUGCCUCACCAGCUUUUGGGGCUGGGGAAAGCGGGAGAGAGCCAGAAGAUGUUUAAAUCAACAGGAAAAGAGGCAUGAGAAUUCUUACAGCCCAAAAGAGAGAAAGAGGAGAAAUCCUUCCUUAUCCUGAUGAGAAACUGCUCUCGCACAGCACAGAGCCAAUGCUAGCAGACUCCAAGAGAACCUGUAUUAAUAAAACCAGGUCAGUUUUUA